rnacentral:tRNA from 1 species
GGCAUUGUGGCUCAGUGGUAGAGUGCUUGCCUAGCAUGCAUGAGGCACUAGGUUUGUUCCCUGGCACCA